GCCUGAGAAGGACGCACCAAGUAGAGGCUGCGGAGCAGCCUGGAAGGAGGGAAGGAAGUGCAGGUGGGUGUGGGGGUGCCAGGUGGAAGGCGUAGAGGGCAGGAUGUCCUUGGACGUCGCAGAGCCCAAGGAGGUGAGGACAGGGCUGAGGGCGGGGACCUGUAACCCUAGAUGACCGAGGCAGACUUUGGGGGCGGGGUGCCUCUCGAAGGCUCAGAGCUCUUUGCCAGGUCGGACGUCUUUCACCCCUCAGAGGAACAGCACAGUCUAAGGAGCUGUUUCAAUUGUUCAGUCCCCGUGCCUGUUGAUUACUUGGUUUUGCCACAAGGCUCGGUUGGGUGUUGGCAUUCCAAACUUCUGCCUUCAAAGGAACAGGCCCAGAUCAGUCGGGGUCGGAGGACUUUUCGCCAGCGGGGGCUCGCAGCGCAGCCACCUGAGAAGACGUGGACAUUUGAAGAAGGGCUGGAUCUGGGCCUCCGGGGUGUCAGUGACCAAGCAGAUGACAUCAGAAAGCCUCUGGAAGGUUUCCUGUGCCCUCUCAUUUCCGGCUUUCUCUUCCCGGCUACCAUUUGUUCUCUGGUCCAAUUCCUACCCCACUCCUCGGGUCAGAUACUGCCCCUCAGACCACCCACCAUGAGACUCAGCCUCCCUGGAGAGUGGCCUACUGAGGCAGCAGGUUCUCCCAGGCCCUCAGGACUCUGAGCUGCACUUGUAGCCUCUGGGCCUCCCCUCCCCCCUUCCCUGAACCACAUCCAG
rnacentral:lncRNA from 1 species